UGGGGAAUAUUGCGCAAUGGGCGAAAGCCUGACGCAGCAACACCGCGUGAGGGAUGACGGCCUUCGGGUUGUAAACCUCUUUCAGCUCCGACGAAGCGAAAGUGACGGUAGGAGCAGAAGAAGCACCGGCUAACUACGUGCCAGCAGCCGCGGUAAUACGUAGGGUGCAAGCGUUGUCCGGAAUUAUUGGGCGUAAAGAGCUCGUAGGCGGUCCGUUGCGUCUGCCGUGAAAACCCGGAGCUCAACUCCGGGCCUGCGGUGGAUACGGGCGGACUAGAGUCCGGUAGGGGAGACUGGAAUUCCUGGUGUAGCGGUGGAAUGCGCAGAUAUCAGGAGGAACACCGGUGGCGAAGGCGGGUCUCUGGGCCGGAACUGACGCUGAGGAGCGAAAGCGUGGGGAGCGAACAGGAUUAGAUACCC
rnacentral:rRNA from 1 species